rnacentral:rRNA from 1 species
CAGCUCAAAUUUGAAAUCUGGUCCCCAGGGCCCGAGUUGUAAUUUGCAGAGGAUGCUUUUGGCGAGGUGCCUUCCGAGUUCCCUGGAACGGGACGCCAUAGAGGGUGAGAGCCCCGUCUGGUUGGACACCGAGCCUCUGUAAAGCUCCUUCGACGAGUCGAGUAGUUUGGGAAUGCUGCUCUAAAUGGGAGGUAUAUGUCUUCUAAAGCUAAAUAUUGGCCAGAGACCGAUAGCGCACAAGUAGAGUGAUCGAAAGAUGAAAAGCACUUUGAAAAGAGGGUUAAAUAGUACGUGAAAUUGUUGAAAGGGAAGCACUUGUGACCAGACUUGGCCCCGGUGAAUCAUCCAGCGGUUCUCGCUGGUGCACUUUGCCGGGAUCAGGCCAGCAUCAGUUCGCUCUGGGGGAUAAAGGCUUUGGGAAUGUGGCUCCCUCGGGAGUGUUAUAGCCCACUGCGUAAUACCUUGUGGCGGGCUGAGGUUCGCGCUAUAUGCAAGGAUGCUGGCAUAAUGGUCAUCAGUGACCCGU